rnacentral:rRNA from 1 species
UACGAAGGGGGCAAGCGUUGUUCGGAAUUACUGGGCGUAAAGGGCGCGUAGGCGGUGCGUUAAGUCAGAUGUGAAAGCCCUGGGCUCAACCCGGGAACUGCAUUUGAUACUGGCGCGCUCGAAUCCGGGAGAGGUUGGUGGAAUUCCCAGUGUAGAGGUGAAAUUCGUAGAGAUUGGGAAGAACACCGGUGGCGAAGGCGGCCAACUGGACCGGUAUUGACGCUGAGGCGCGAAAGCGUGGGGAG